rnacentral:rRNA from 1 species
GAUGAACGCUGGCGGCGUGCCUAAUACAUGCAAGUCGAGCGAACAGACGAGGAGCUUGCUCCUCUGACGUUAGCGGCGGACGGGUGAGUAACACGUGGAUAACCUACCUAUAAGACUGGGAUAACUUCGGGAAACCGGAGCUAAUACCGGAUAACAUGUUGAACCGCAUGGUUCAACAGUGAAAGACGGUCUUGCUGUCACUUAUAGAUGGAUCCGCGCCGCAUUAGCUAGUUGGUAAGGUAACGGCUUACCAAGGCAACGAUGCGUAGCCGACCUGAGAGGGUGAUCGGCCACACUGGAACUGAGACACGGUCCAGACUCCUACGGGAGGCAGCAGUAGGGAAUCUUCCGCAAUGGGCGAAAGCCUGACGGAGCAACGCCGCGUGAGUGAUGAAGGUCUUCGGAUCGUAAAACUCUGUUAUUAGGGGAGAACAAAUGUGUAAGUAACUAUGCACGUCUUGACGGUACCUAAUCAGAAAGCCACGGCUAACUACGUG